GACAGCUUUUUGGCAAUGCACAAAGCAGACCAUCUCCAUCUGGGUGAACUACCAUUCUAUAAGGCACGUCAGAACCAAGUCCAAGCUUAGCUACAGGCUGAGCAGAUAGAGAAUUGGAGGCGAAAUCAAAUUGAGCGAGAACAAUAGCGUUGGGGAUGCCGCUGCAACCUUCUCCACCACCUCCGGCCAGAACGACGUAGUAUUGAUCGGAGAUCUCCUGCUGAGUGGAUUCAUUGCCUGAAUCUUCAUCUUUGUCGUCGGAUUGUUGGCGGUCGUGAGAUUGAAGCUUGGAUCUGAGUUCCUUGAAGGGAACCCAACCAGAAGAGUAGAAAGGGACGCCGUAUUU
rnacentral:misc_RNA from 1 species